rnacentral:rRNA from 1 species
UACGUAGGGGGCAAGCGUUGUCCGGAUUUAUUGGGCGUAAAGAGCGUGUAGGCGGCCAGAUAGGUCCGUUGUGAAAACUGGAGGCUUAACCUCCAGACGUCGACGGAAACCGCGCGGCUAGAGUCCGGAAGAGGAGAGUGGAAUUCCUGGUGUAGCGGUGAAAUGCGCAGAUAUCAGGAAGAACACCAAUGGCGAAGGCAGCUCUCUGGGACGGUACUGACGCUGAGACGCGAAAGCGUGGGGAGCGAACAGG